rnacentral:RNase_P_RNA from 1 species
GCUACAAGCCGGGUUAUCGCUUCCCGUUUCGGCGGGGGGAGGAAAGUCCGGACAGCACAGAGCAAUGCACCUUGUGAUAAGCAAGGGGCCCGGUGUAAAAGCCGGGGACAGAAAGUGCCACAGAAAAUAACCGUCCUGCCUUGUGCGGGAUAAGGAUGAAAAUGUGGGGUAAGAGCCCACGGCCUCUGGCAGUAAUGCCGGAAGCGGGUAAACCUUGCAUGCUGAAAUGCCACGUAUAGUAUCCCUUAAGGGUUGCUCGCCCGGGUGCCGGUAUUUAUUACCGGUACAGGGUACAGGGUAGGCAGAUGGAGUCCGCAGGGCAACUUGCGGAACAGAUAAAUGAUAGCCAUCCCGGUGUUAAUCGCCGGGAAACAGAAUCCGGCUUACAGGCUUGUAGCUUUU